AGGACGAACGCUGGCGGCGUGCUUAACACAUGCAAGUCGAGCGGUAAGGCCUUUCGGGGUACACGAGCGGCGAACGGGUGAGUAACACGUGGGUGAUCUGCCCUGCACUUCGGGAUAAGCCUGGGAAACUGGGUCUAAUACCGGAUAUGACCUCAGGUUGCAUGACUUGGGGUGGAAAGAUUUAUCGGUGCAGGAUGGGCCCGCGGCCUAUCAGCUUGUUGGUGGGGUAAUGGACUACCAAGGCGACGACGGGUAGCCGACCUGAGAGGGUGACCGGCCACGACUGGGACUGAGACACGGCCCAGACUCCUACGGGAGGCAGCAGUGGGGAAUAUUGCACAAUGGGCGAAAGCCUGAUGCAGCGACGCCGCGUGAGGAUGACGGCCUUCGGGUUACGUAAACCUCUUCAGCGAGGACGAAGCG
rnacentral:rRNA from 1 species